rnacentral:rRNA from 1 species
UACGUAGGGAGCAAGCGUUGUCCGGAAUCAUUGGGCGUAAAGCGCGCGUAGGUGGCCACAUAAGUCCGUUGUGAAAGUCAAAGGCCCAACCUUUGAAAGCCGAUGGAUACUGUGUGGCUAGAGUACGGAAGAGGCGAGUGGAAUUCCUGGUGUAGCGGUGGAAUGCGCAGAUAUCAGGAGGAACACCAAUAGCGAAGGCAGCUCGCUGGGACGUUACUGACACUGAGGCGCGAAAGCGUGGGGAGCGAACAGG